CACCUCUCAGGGUCGCAGCUGGAGAGUUUCCGGUACCAGUCUCGACUAUGGGAGGGAGAGUCAAGCAGAGGCAAAUCCAUUCCAUUCCUAGCUUGGGCAGUGGCUAGUGAAUGGAAGGCAAUCUGCUACAAGU